CUGCACUGUUCGUAACCUGUUUUCAGCGCUCAGUCUGACUCUGGGUUCCAUUCCAGUGCCACAGCAUGGCCCGGUGAGGCAGGGGAGCAGUGCUCUACGUGCGCGUCUCCCUGUUCACUCUCUGGGAACAACC